rnacentral:lncRNA from 1 species
UGGAAACAAGAGCCUUGGAAACAAACCAGAAUGCUUUAAGGUCUGCGAUGAUUAAGAACACCUGUGGCAACACCAAACAGAGCCCACAAACAUCGUGCUGAUGAGCAAGGACUAGGGAAGAAGAUGCUCAAGAAACAUCCAUGAAAACAACCAGGAGGGCUUUGAGAGAAUGCGGAGCUGGAGCUCGGAUCUUCCUUUCUGAAAAGCAUGAGAAAACCCAGAAGGCUCUGUCUUAAGAUAAA